GCCCCAAUUCCUUCCUCAGCUGUGUUACAGCAGCACUGAGUGCUGGUGCAGCUGCAGCCCUACCUGCCUGGUGGCUAGGGAUGAGUGCUGAUCCUCACCCAUGGGCAGACCUCCUGGCUUGCCUUUAGACCUGUUUCAUGGUACAGACUCUUGCUGUUUCCUGAUGCAGCAGCCCCAGAUGUGAGAAGAGUUUGGGAAAUGGAGAACUUCAGCCCCAGAGCCCUUUGGACAAAAUACAUUCCCUUCAAUCUUGGCAUUACCGGUUAGGAGCCUUAUAGGACAGACACUCAAAGUUGCUGAGUCAGAUAGGUGUUAGAGGCAACACCUGAAUUUUCUGUCCCUUAUGUAAGAGGGAAAAAUGUUGUUUUUCUAUGGAAUCUGGCAAAGCUAAAGAAAACAGAUCAGAAGCAAAAAAUAAAAAUUAGGAUUCAGGAGAAAAGUCAUUGCUUAGAGGCAAAAGAAUCUGGGCAGCCUGGAAAAAUCUUGGAACUCAGCUCAGAAAUGCUGUAGGUUGGCAAAUCUGCAGGUUUUGGUUGUGCUUAAGACAGUUAAUGUUGCAAAAUUUAUCUAGGGAAUAGCGUCUUUAUUUUGAUAGUUCUCACGUUGGUCCUCAUCCAUUCUCAUCAACUCCACUGCUUCCAGAGCCAGUUUUAUUCCCAAGCCAAAGCAUCUGUUCUGCCUUUCCUCAUGCGGUCUGUCCGCAAACCCUCUGUUUGAGGCUUCAGUGCUGACUUGAAGCCUUAGCUCAAACCCACUGCUUCCCCUCUUCUUCCCAGGGGGUUUUGCAUCUCUUAUGCCCAGGCAGAGAGGUGACUGAAACCUGGUCACACCUCCAGACUAGAGAUGGUCCCAGGAGCUCUGAACUCCUUUAUCUUUGAGCUGAGAAACAGGAGGAAUGGAUGUCAGGGGCAGCUCUGUGUUUGUCCCCCUCUACCUCUAGAGGCCACUAGUCAUUUUCUGACACUAAGAAUUCCAGGUUGGGAUGGAGGAAGAGAUUUUGAAAAAUUACCUGUACAGGAGUGCCUGUCAUGGGGGAACUCAAAACUAA